rnacentral:rRNA from 1 species
GAGUUUGAUCCUGGCUCAGGGUUAACGCUGGCGGCGCGCAUAACACAUGCAAGUCGAGCGAGGGCUUAUUUCUCGCAAGAGAGAUAAGUUCCUAGCGGCGAACGGGUGAGUAACACGUGGGCAACCUUUCCUAUCGCGGGGGAUAACACCGGGAAACCGAUGCUAAUACCGCAUGUCGUCUCCGGUCGCAUGGCUGGUGAAGAAAGCAGCAAUGCACGAUGGGGUGGGCCCGCGGCCUAUCAGCUAGUCGGUGGGGUAACGGCCUACCGAGGCGAUGACGGGUAGCUGGUCUGAGAGGACGGCCAGCCACACGGGGACUGAGACACGGCCCCGACUCCUACGGGAGGCAGCAGUGAGGAAUCUUCCGCAAUGGGCGAAAGCCUGACGGAGCGACGCCGCGUGUGGGAUGAAGUCCUUCGGGAUGUAAACCACUGUCGGAGGGGAAGACAUCGACGGUACCCUCCAAGAAAGCCCCGGCUAACUACGUGCCAGCAGCCGCGGUAAUACGUAGGGGGCAAGCGUUAUCCAGAUUUACUGGGCGUAAAGCGCGUGUAGGCGGCUGGUUAGGUGUGAUGUGAAAUCUUCCGGCUCAACCGGAAGACUGCAUUGCAAACCGGCCUGGCUAGAGUGCAGGAGAGGGAAGCGGAAUUCCAGGUGUAGCGGUGAAAUGCGUAGAUAUCUGGAGGAACACCAGUGGCGAAGGCGGCUUCCUGGCCUGCAACUGACGCUGAGACGCGAAAGCGUGGGGAGCGAACCGGAUUAGAUACCCGGGUAGUCCACGCCCUAAACGUUGUGAACUAGGUGUUGGUCGGAUUGACCCGAUCAGUGCCGCAGCUAACGCAUUAAGUUCACCGCCUGGGGACUACGGCCGCAAGGUUAAAACUCAAAGGAAUAGGCGGGGGCCCGCACAAGCAGCGGAGCGUGUGGUUUAAUUCGAGGCAACGCGAAGAACCUUACCUGGGUUUGACAUGCAGAGGAAACUUUGGUGAAAGCCAGAGCCUCCCGCAAGGGACUUCUGCGCAGGUGGUGCAUGGCUGUCGUCAGCUCGUGCCGUGAGGUGUUGGGUUAAGUCCCGCAACGAGCGCAACCCUUACUCUUAGUUGCCACCCGCAAGGGGGAACUCUAAGAGGACUGCUCCGGAUAACGGAGAGGAAGGUGGGGAUGACGUCAAGUCAGCACGGCCUUUAUGUCCAGGGCUACGCCCACGCUACAAUGGCCGGUACAACGGGCUGCGAAACCGCGAGGUGGAGCGAAUCCCUUAAAGCCGGUCUCAGUUCGGAUUGUAGGCUGCAACUCGCCUACAUGAAGCCGGAGUUGCUAGUAACCGCCGGUCAGCAUACGGCGGUGAAUAUGUUCCCGGGCCUGCACACAC